AGCAGUAGCCACGGGAAUACGGAGGGUGCAAGCGUUAAUCGGAAUUACUGGGCGUAAAGCGCACGCAGGCGGUUUGUUAAGUCAGAUGUGAAAUCCCCGAGCUUAACUUGGGAGCUGCAUUUGAAACUGGCAAGCUAGAGUCUUGUAGAGGGGGGUAGAAUUCCAGGUGUAGCGGUGAAAUGCGUAGAGAUCUGGAGGAAUACCGGUGGCGAAGGCGGCCCCCUGGACAAAGACUGACGCUCAGGUGCGAAAGCGUGGGGAGCAAACAGGAUUAGAUACCCCGGUAGUCCCUGUCUCUUAUAC
rnacentral:rRNA from 1 species